rnacentral:rRNA from 1 species
UGCCAGCAGCCGCGGUAAUACAUAGGGGUCAAGCGUUGUCCGGAUUUAUUGGGCGUAAAGAGCUCGUAGGUGGUUUGUUAAGUUAGAUGUGAAAGCCCUGGGCUCAACCUAGGAAUUGCAUUUAAAACUGGCUCACUAGAGUAUGGUAGAGGGAAGUGGAAUUCGACAUGUAGCGGUGAAAUGCGUAGAGAUGUGGAGGAACACCAGUGGCGAAGGCGACUUCCUGGACCAAUACUGACACUGAGGUGCGAAAGCGUGGGGAGCAAACAGGAUUAGAUA